ACAGGCUCGCCGCCGGGUGAGCCGCAAGCGCUUUUUCCUGCAUCGUUAGGCCUUUGAAGAUGCGGGGGAGGGCGCAUUUCGUUU
rnacentral:ncRNA from 1 species